AUUGAACGCUGGCGGCAUGCCUAACACAUGCAAGUCGAACGAGUGGCGGACGGGUGUGUAAUGUCUGGGACACUGCCUGAUGGAGGGGGAUAACUACUGGAAACGGUAGCUAAUACCGCAUACCAUCGGAUUUGCCCAGAUGGGAUUAGCUAGUAGGUGGGGUAAAGGCUCACCUAGGCGACGAUCCCUAGCUGGUCUGAGAGGAUGACCAGACACAAGGGAAAUGAGACACGGUCCAGACUCCUACGGGAGGCAGCAGUGGGGAAUAUUGCACAAGGGGCGCAAGCCUGAUGCAGCCAUGCCGCGGGUAGGAAGAAGGCCUUCGGGUUGUAAAGUACUUUCAGCGGGGAGGCGUUACCCGCAGAAGAAGCACCGGCUAACUCCGUGCCAGCAGCCGCGGUAAUAC
rnacentral:rRNA from 1 species